CACGUAGGGCGCGAGCGUUGUCCGGAAUUAUUGGGCGUAAAGAGCUCGUAGGCGGCCUGUUGCGUCCGCUGUGAAAGCCCGGGGCUUAACCCCGGGUCGGCAGUGGAUACGGGCAGGCUAGAGGUAGGUAGGGGGAGAAUGGAAUUCCCGGUGUAGCGGUGAAAUGCGCAGAUAUCGGGAGGAACACCGGUGGCGAAGGCGGUUCUCUGGGCCUUACCUGACGCUGAGGAGCGAAAGCGUGGGGAGCGAACAGGAUUAGAA
rnacentral:rRNA from 1 species